rnacentral:rRNA from 1 species
AAUACGUUCCCGGGCUUGUACACACCGCCCGUCACACCACGAAAGUCGGCAACACCCGAAGCCGGUGGCCUAACCCUUUUGGGAAGGAGCCGUCGAAGGUGGGGUCGGUGAUUGGGGUG